rnacentral:rRNA from 1 species
UACGUAGGGAGCAAGCGUUGUCCGGAAUCAUUGGGCGUAAAGCGCGCGUAGGUGGCUUCGUAAGUCCGUUGUGAAAGUCAAAGGCUCAACCUUUGAAAGCCGAUGGAUACUGCGGAGCUAGAGUACGGAAGAGGCGAGUGGAAUUCCUGGUGUAGCGGUGGAAUGCGCAGAUAUCAGGAGGAACACCAAUAGCGAAGGCAGCUCGCUGGGACGUUACCGACACUGAGGCGCGAAAGCGUGGGGAGCGAACAGG